ACCACCGUGCUCUCUCUGGAGAUAUGUGAGUUUUGGAUUUUCCCACAACGAAGGUCAGAAUGCUGCCCCUCCGUUAUGCUCUGGCCGUAGCUGUUGUCCAGAUCUUUAUCUUGUCAGAAAACUGGGCAUUGGCCAAGAAUAUCAACUUCUACAACGUGAGGCCUCCUCUGGACCCUACGCCAUUUCCAAACAGCUUCAAGUGUUUUACCUGUGAAAAUGCAGGAGAUAAUUAUAACUGCAAUCGAUGGGCAGAAGACAAAUGGUGUCCACAAAAUACACAGUACUGUCUGACAGUUCACCACUUUACCAGUCAUGGAAGAAGUACAUCCAUUACCAAAAAAUGUGCCUCCAGAAGUGAAUGUCAUUUUGUUGGCUGCCACCACAGCCGAGAUUCUGAACAUACAGAGUGUAGGUCUUGCUGUGAAGGUAUGAUCUGUAAUGUAGAGUUACCCACCAACCACACGAAUGCGGUCUUCGCCGUGAUGCACGCGCAGAGAACAUCUGGCAGUGGUGCCCCCACACUCUGCCUACCAGUGCUUGCCUGGGUCUUCGUGCUUCUGCUGAUAUGAGGCCACUGUUCCUAGG